AUGGACAGGAGGGAAGAUUAUGACGUCUAUGGUAACCUUCUACCUAGACGGAGAACCCGUGAAACUGCCAGAGUAAAAAGGAGGCAGGAGAUGGGCUCACCACCACUGCCUCUUCUGGACCGCCAUAACCCUAUGACAAAACAUAGGCUGCAAGGCAUUAAAAAAGCACAAAAGCUCAAACAGGAGCAAAUGCAAAAGGAGCUCCAAAGUCAGUGCAAGAAGUCUGACACAAGGGAGCUUACAAAAAAAAGCCUACAGGUGCCAAAGCCAGAACCAACAAAAAACUGGCUUAAAGACACGAGAGAGGAAUAUCGUCACGUGUCUGGGGAAGUUCUCCUACAUCUUAAUCGGAAAACUUCCAUGAUAAAAAGUAGGCAGGAGAUGGCAGCAGAAAAGCUCGAACAGGAGCAAAUGCAAGCCAUGCAAAAUGAGCUCCAAAGUCAGUGCAAGAAGUCUGACACAAGGAAGCUUACAAAAAAAAGCCUACAGGUGCCAAAGCCAGAACCAACAAAAAACUGGCUUAAAGACACGAGACAGGAAUAUCGUGACGUGUCUGGGGAAGUUCUCCGACAUCUUAAUCGGGAAAGUUCCAUGAUAGAAAGUAGGCAGGAGAUGGCAGCAGAAAAGCUCGAACAGGAGCAAAUGCAAGCCAUGCAAAAUGAGCUCCAAAGUCAGUGCAAGAAGUCUGACAUAAGGGAGCUUACAAGAAAAAGCCUACAGGUGCCAAAGCCAGAACCAACAAAAAACUGGCUUAAAGACACGAGACAAGAAUAUCGUGACGUGUCUGGGGAAGUUCUCCGACAUCUUAAUCGGGAAACUUCCAUGAUAAAAAGUAGGCAGGAGAUGGCAGCAGAAAAGCUCGAACAGGAGCAAAUGCAAACCAUGCAAAAUGAGCACCAAAGUCAGUGGAAGAAGUCUGACAUAAGGGAGCUUACAAGAAAAGGCCUACAGGUGCCAAAGCCAAAACCAACAAAAAACUGGCUUAAAGACACAAGACAGGAAUAUCGUGACGUGUCUGGGGAAGUUCUCCGACAUCUUAAUCGGGAAACUUCCAUGAUAGAAAGUAGGCAGGAGAUGGCAGCAGAAAAGCUCGAACAGGAGCAAAUGCAAGCCAUGCAAAAUGAGCACCAAAGUAAGUGGAAGACGUCUGACAUAAGGGAGCUUAAAAUAAAAGGCCUACAGGUGCCAAAGCCAGAACCAACAAAAAACUGGCUUAAAGACACAAGACAGGAAUAUCGUGACGUGUCUGGGAAAGUUCUCCGACAUCUUAAUCGAGAAAGUUCCAUGAUAGAAAGUAGGCAGGAGAUGGCAGCAGAAAAGCUCGAACAGGAGCAAAUGCAAGCCAUGCAAAAUGAGCUCCAAAGUCAGUGCAAGAAGUCUGACAUAAGGGAGCUUACAAAAAAAAGCAGACAGGUGCCAAAGCCAGAACCAACAAAAAACUGGCUUAGAGACACAAGACAGGAAUAUCGUCACGUGUCUGGGGAAGUUCUCCUACAUCUUAAUCGGGAAAGUUCCAUGAUAGAAAGUAGGCAGGAGAUGGCAGCAGAAAAGCUCGAACAGGAGCAAAUGCAAGCCAUGCAAAAUGAGCUCCAAAGUCAGUGGAAGAAGUCUGACACAAGGAAGCUUACAAAAAAAAGCAGAAAGGUGCCAAAGCCAGAACCAACAAAAAACUGGCUUAAAGACACAAGACAGGAAUAUCGAGAUGUGUCUGGGAAAGUUCUCCGACAUCUUAAUCGGGAAACUUCCAUGAUAGAAAGUAGGCAGGAGAUGGCAGCAGAAAAGCUCGAACAGGAGCAAAUGCAAGCCAUGCAAAAUGAGCACCAAAGUCAGUGGAAGAAGUCUGACAUAAGGGAGCUUAAAAUAAAAGGCCUACAGGUGCCAAAGCCAGAACCAACAAAAAACUGGCUUAAAGACACAAGACAGGAAUAUCGUGACGUGUCUGGGGAAGUUCUCCUACAUCUUAAUCGGGAAAGUUCCAUGAUAGAAAGUAGGCAGGAGAUGGCAGCAGAAAAGCUCGAACAGGAGCAAAUGCAAGCCAUGCAAAAUGAGCUCCAAAGUCAGUGGAAGAAGUCUGACACAAGGAAGCUUACAAAAAAAAGCCUACAGGUGCCAAAGCCAGAACCAACAAAAAACUGGCUUAAAGACACAAGACAGGAAUAUCGUCACGUGUCUGGGGAAGUUCUCCUACAUCUUCAUCGGGACACUGACAGGGACCUGACCGAUAAAAGAAAUACGGGACCUGUAGACCCACUGUUGCCCAAACGAAGGGGUGAAAAAAUUGAUGUGGAAGAGUUAUUUCAGGUUACUAUAGGUACAAGAAUAGUACUGGUGGAUCGACCUGAACAUAAAAAACCCCAAAUUUUUCUGCCCCCUAUCAAGGCAUCCGCCAGAAGGGCCAACAGAUAA
rnacentral:lncRNA from 1 species